GAUGAACGCUGGCGGCGUGCCUAAUACAUGCAAGUCGAGCGAACAGACGAGGAGCUUGCUCCUCUGACGUUAGCGGCGGACGGGUGAGUAACACGUGGAUAACCUACCUAUAAGACUGGGAUAACUUCGGGAAACCGGAGCUAAUACAGGAUAAUAUAUUGAACCGCAUGGUUCAAUAGUGAAAGACGGAUUUGCUGUCACUAAUAGAUGGAUCCGCGCCGCAUUAGCAAGUUGGUAAGGUAACGGCUUACCAAGGCAACGAUGCGUAGCCGACCUGAGAGGGUGAUCCGCCACACUGGAACUGGGGCACGGUCCCGACUCCUACGGGAGGCCGCAGUAGGGAAUCUUCCGCAAUGGGCGGAAGCCUGACGGAGCAACGCCGCGUGGGUGAUGAAGGUCUUCGGAUCGUAAAACUCUGUUAUUAGGGGAGAACAAAUGUGUAAGUAACUAUGCGCGUCUUGACGGUACCUAAUCAGAAAGCCACGGCUAACUACGUG
rnacentral:rRNA from 1 species